rnacentral:rRNA from 1 species
UACGUAGGGAGCAAGCGUUGUCCGGAAUCAUUUGGGCGUAAAGCGCGCGUAGGUGGCUUCGUAAGUCCGUUGUGAAAGUCAAAGGCUCAACCUUUGAAAGCCGAUGGAUACUGUGAAGCUAGAGUACGGAAGAGGCGAGUGGAAUUCCUGGUGUAGCGGUGGAAUGCGCAGAUAUCAGGAGGAACACCAAUAGCGAAGGCAGCUCGCUGGGACGUUACUGACACUGAGGCGCGAAAGCGUGGGGAGCGAACAGG